AACCCAGUGUGUUUCGACACACUAUCAUUAACUGAAUCCAUAGGUUAAUGAGGCGAACCGGGGGAACUGAAACAUCUAAGUACCCCGAGGAAAAGAAAUCAACCGAGAUUCCCCCAGUAGCGGCGAGCGAACGGGGAGGAGCCCAGAGCCUGAAUCAGUGUGUGUGUUAGUGGAAGCGUCUGGAAAGGCGCGCGAUACAGGGUGACAGCCCCGUACACAAAAAUGCACAUAUUGUGAGCUCGAUGAGUAGGGCGGGACACGUGGUAUCCUGUCUGAAUAUGGGGGGACCAUCCUCCAAGGCUAAAUACUCCUGACUGACCGAUAGUGAACCAGUACCGUGAGGGAAAGGCGAAAAGAACCCCGGCGAGGGGAGUGAAAAAGAACCUGAAACCGUGUACG
rnacentral:rRNA from 1 species